UGCAGUCGAGCGGUAGAGAGGUGCUUGCACCUCUUGAGAGCGGCGGACGGGUGAGUAAAGCCUAGGAAUCUGCCUGGUAGUGGGGGAUAACGCUCGGAAACGGACGCUAAUACCGCAUACGUCCUACGGGAGAAAGCAGGGGACCUUCGGGCCUUGCGCUAUCAGAUGAGCCUAGGUCGGAUUAGCUAGUUGGUGAGGUAAUGGCUCACCAAGGCGACGAUCCGUAACUGGUCUGAGAGGAUGAUCAGUCACACUGGAACUGAGACACGGUCCAGACUCCUACGGGAGGCAGCAGUGGGGAAUAUUGGACAAUGGGCGAAAGCCUGAUCCAGCCAUGCCGCGUGUGUGAAGAAGGUCUUCGGAUUGUAAAGCACUUUAAGUUGGGAGGAAGGGCAUUAACCUAAUACGUUAGUGUUUUGACGUUACCGACAGAAUAAGCACCGGCUAACUCUGUGCCAGCAGCCGCGGUAAUACAGAGGGUGCAAGCGUUAAUCGGAAUUACUGGGCGUAAAGCGCGCGUAGGUGGUUCGUUAAGUUGGAUGUGAAAUCCCCGGGCUCAACCUGGGAACUGCAUUCAAAACUGUCGAGCUAGAGUAUGGUAGAGGGUGGUGGAAUUUCCUGUGUAGCGGUGAAAUGCGUAGAUAUAGGAAGGAACACCAGUGGCGAAGGCGACCACCUGGACUGAUACUGACACUGAGG
rnacentral:rRNA from 1 species